AUUGCACGCUGGCGGCAGGCCUAACACAUGCAAGUCGAACGAGUGGCGGACGUGUGAGCAAUGUCUGGGAAACUGCCCGCUCGAGGGGGAUAACUACUGGAAACGGUAGCCAAUACCGCAUACUAUCGUAUGUGCCCAGAUGGGACUAGCUAGUAGGUGGGGUAAAGGCUCACCUAGGCGACGAUCCCUAGCUGGUCUGAGAGGAUGACCAGCCACACUGGAAAUGAGAAAAGGUCCAGACUCCUACGGGAGGCAGCAGUGGUGAAUAUUGCACAAUGGGCGCAAGCCUGAUGCAGCCAUGCCGCGUGUAUGAAGAAGGCCUUAGGGUUGUAAAGUACUUUAAGCGGGGAGGCGUUACCCGCAGAAGAAGCACCGGCUAACUCCGUGCCAGCAGCCGCGGUAAUAC
rnacentral:rRNA from 1 species